rnacentral:tRNA from 1 species
UCCCUGGAGGACUAGUGGUUAGGCCACAACGCUCUCACCGCUGCGGCCGGGUUCGAUUCUCCAGCCAAGGAA